rnacentral:rRNA from 1 species
GACGAACGCUGGCGGCGUGCUUAACACAUGCAAGUCGAACGGAAAGGCCCUGCUUUUGUGGUGCUCUCGUGUGGAGCGGGGGAGUGACACACGUGUGAACCCCCCUCCUGUUUGGGGGAUACCUUGAGGAGACUGGGGAAUAUACCGUAUAGCAUCUCCUGCAGCGUGGGGGGGGUAAGAAAUUAUCGGUGUUGGGGGAUGGGGUCGCGGCGUAUCAGCUUGGUGGGGGGGUAGUGGCUUACCAAGGCGUGGACGGGUAGGCGGCCUGGGAGGGUGACCGGCCACAUUGGGACUGAGAUACGGCCCAGACUCCUACGGGAGGCAGCAGUGGGGAAGAUUGCACAAUGGGCGGAAGCCUGAUGCAGCAACGCCGCGUGUGGGAUGACGGCCUUCGGGUUGUAAACCUCUUUCGCCAGUGACGAAGCGUAAGUGACGGUAACUGGAUAAGAAGCACCGGCUAACUACGUG